UUACUCUUUGUCGUAACCGCAACGACCGAGAUCACUUCUUAACGUACCGUGCUCCAGUCAACAUACACGUACCCUUUCCUCUGACUAAAUAUUAUAUAACAAGAAAAAAUGAUCGAAUUGAAAAAUCCACACGCAACUAUGUGAUCCAACAAUACUUAAGAACAUUUAAGCAAUGAGGAAGUUAAUAGUUCUUAUUGCGAUCAUUAUAAUUGACACCUUUGCCAUGGUCGAGUCGAAAAUGAGUCAUCCACCCAACAUGCGAGGCAACCAUUACGGAAAUGCGGAACGUGAAUGUCGACAAAUUUUCGAACCGUGUAUGCAAAACAGAAAUAAUGCCAUUUAGAGAAUUGUUGGUUUGAAAGGAAUUGUUGUCUUGAUUAUAAACUCUGUAUCCACGGCGUAAUGCAAUCCUACGAUAAGGUCAGUACCGACUGACGGUUGUUGGAUGUGGAGUGUUCGUUUCUUAGCGUACCCUCCAAGACAGUUCGCUACAAUGAAAUUUCUGUUGCUGUGCGCGAUCGUCGCAAUUACUGCUUGUGUCAGUUUCUGUCAGAACACUUUCACCACCGACACAGCAACAUGCAGCCCAUGGCUUGGGAUAUGUUAUACAUACGAUGACUGUUGCCGAUAUCUUGCCUGUUCAACAUAUCGGGCAAAAUGUGUCCCAAUAACUGGACCCAUUAUACCGGGACAAGAUCAGAGACCAAUUGGACCUGGACCAUAUCCUCCAAACUUCCCACGAAACUGAGCACUCGCAUGGAUCACUUCUAAUGCUAUUCUGAUAAUAUGCAGCUGUAUUAAUAACCCUGACACAUUGAAUGAGUGAAUGCAAUAUUUUGUAAGUAGGCUACAGAUUUAAGCAGUAAAAACAUACCAAAAUACCAAAAGAUUUUAAGAACACCAUUACAAUGGACUGGAAAUAAAUUUUAUCUGGGUCCAACUCUUUGUACCUGACACAGAAAUUCUUCCACGAUCUGCAGUCUGCUUACAACGAAAUGAGUACAUUUCGCAAUAAACAACCCAUUAAAGAAUAAUUAUUCGUAACAUAAGCGACAUAUUCUGCGCGGAAUAUUAUAUUGCAAUUUCAUCGAGCCGACUACAUACGAUAUUAUUUCAUUUCCAAACUGUAACGUUACACGACUCGAACGUUUAAAUCCGCCCGUACAAUGAUAUUGUAAAUGUCGAGUGGCUUCGAGUGCCGCGAACUUUCUUCUUUUCGCUGAAGUCUUACUGUUUAACGAACAGUUCGAUUGAAUCGAUCGAAACCGGGCACAGUAAUGGAAUCGUAUUAUAGGCAAAAAAUUGCAUGGGGUUACAAAAUAGUUGGGUUCUUUCAUUGUUGAAACCCUGCAUGAGGAAGCGAUCGACUGUAUAGUUCGAUGGCACAGUGAAACCCAUCGACGCAAAACCGAAAAAAGAAGUGCGAGCCGCGCUUCCACUUGCCCGCCGUCUACGGAAAAAAGGGGCAAUAUUACCGGAUGAUUCGGUUUUCUUCUCUGUUGUUUCCUAUUAAACGAAUUAAAGAACAAGGGCGGCUUUGUCGUUUAGAUCAAUGGAACGCAUAAAGCCUGCAAUACACAGUCAAUGAAAUAUCGAUGCAGAAAGCAAAAAGUGGCCGCUGACAUUUUCAUAUCGUCGAAUGGGAAAAGAAUGUUCGUGGUGGAUGUCUCUUUUGAAUUGUUGCACAGUUUACAGUAUAAUUGGUACGAAUUAUAAUUGACGGAGAGGAGGAGGUGGCGGUGGUAGAGGAGACCGAUGAGGGGCGCGGAGAGGGUAGGUUUCGACUUUUCCUGGUAUUCGCCGGUGAUACGCGUCCCAAAGGCAUUAUUCUGCAAAAUUAAACGCCAGACCCAGAACAUACUGUAGCUUCUGUAAUUUAAUAGAGCCCGCUUUUUUGGCCGAAAAAAGCAAACCUGCAUAUCGCCAAUAAAAUUGUAAAAUUAUAUUCGAACGUUAAUAUGCCGGCGCUGAAAUGAAGUCCGAGAGAGAGAGAGAGAGAGAGAGAGAGAGAAAGAGAGCGAGAGAGAGAGAGAGAGAGCCGUACAAGCCCAUGAGUGUAAAAUAGAAAAAUCUAACGCCGGUUAAUGGAAUAUUUUACUUUAUCGAUCUACCUCUCAACUGUAUUAUUGGUAAUUGUAGUAUUACAUUCCCGGGAAACGUAUUGCGGAUUUAUGGUUCGCGUAGGUAUUUCAGUUAAAAACACAAGGAGAGCCGCGCUUUCGCCGAUAGUUUAAUGCAAACUCUACUUUACUUUUUCGUGUGUUUUCCUUGCGUAAACGAACUUCGAGGGGUCUAGUUACUUUUUGCGCUCUGUUGAUUUCGAUAUUGACAGCGGCAUGGUUUCAUAGGUGUUUAAGAAGAUCAUAUUUGUUAAUUUUCUGUUCAUCGAUGUAUGUUGUAUAUCUAUGACCAUGAAUAAUUGAUAAUAAUCAAUCCGAUCCAAUGCAAUGCAAUGAUAGUUUCUGUGAAUAUUGUUAUUUGUCAAACAGUUCUAAACAUUUUAAUUUAUAAAAAAAUAUUUAUUUUAUAAUUAUUUAAAAUAAUUUUGUAUUUAAUAAUACUUAUAAUGUCUUUAAAACGUGUUCUGAUAAUAAACCAUGUAACAACACUUA